UACAGAGGGUGCAAGCGUUAAUCGGAAUGACUGGGCGUAAAGCGCACGUAGGUGGUUUGUUAAGUUAGGUGUGAAAGUCCCGGGCUCAACCUGGGGAGGUCAUCUAAUACUGGCAGACUAGAGUACAGUAGAGGGAAGUGGAAUUUCCGGUGUAGCGGUGAAAUGCGUAGAUAUCGGAAGGAACAUCAGUGGCGAAGGCGACUUCCUGGACUGAUACUGACACUGAGGAGCGAAAGCGUGGGUAGCGAACGGG
rnacentral:rRNA from 1 species